UUGAAAUGCAUACAUAUAUACUCCCUCUGCUCAACUUUGAUCGUCCGUCUUAUUUGAAAAAUUUUUAUAAUUAGUAUUUUUCUUGUUACGAGAUGAUAAAACAUGAAUAGUAUUUUACUCGUGACUUAUGUUUUAAAAUUUUUUCAAAAAAAAUUUAAAUAAGAUGAACGAUGAAAGUUGGGCGUGGAAAAAUCAUGGCUGCACUUAAA
rfam:Oryza rufipogon genomic scaffold, chr11